rnacentral:rRNA from 1 species
UACGUAGGAGACGAGCGUUGUCCGGAAUUACUGGGCGUAAAGCGCACGUAGGCGGAUUGUUAAGUCGGGGGUGAAAUCCUGGAGCUCAACUUCAGAAUUGUCUUCGAUACUGGCUUUCUAGAGGCUGGAAGAGGUUAGUGGAAUUCCCAGUGUAGAGGUGAAAUUCGUAGAUAUUGGGAAGAACACCAGUGGCGAAGGCGGCUAACUGGUCCAGAUCUGACGCUGAGGUGCGAAAGCGUGGGGAGCAAACAGG